rnacentral:rRNA from 1 species
CACCAGCCCCUCGAGUGGUGGGGAUGAUUAUUUGGCCUAAAGCGUCCGUAGCCGGCCGGGUAAGUUUCCGUUAAAUCCAGCGUCUCAAGCGUUGGACUGCGGGAAAUACUGUCUGGCUAGAGAGUGGGAGAGGUAAGCGGUAUUCUGGGGGUAGGGGCGAAAUCCUUUGAUCCCCGGAGGACCACCAGUGGCGAAGGCUGCUUACUAGAACACGUCUGACGGUCAGGGACGAAAGCUGGGGUAGCGAACCGGAUUAGAUACCCCGGGUAGUCCCAGCCGUAAACGAUGCAUGCUAGGUGUUGGGUUGGCCACGAGCCACCCCGGUGCCGCAGGGAAGCCGUUAAGCAUGCCGCCUGGGAAGUACGAUCGCAGGGUUGAAACUUAAAGGAAUUGGCGGGGGAGCACCACCAGGCGUGAAGCCUGCGGUUU